rnacentral:rRNA from 1 species
UACUAGAGUAGCACUCGCAUAUCAAUAAGCGGAGGAAAAGAAACUAACAAGGAUUCCCCUAGUAACGGCGAGUGAAGCGGGAAGAGCUCAAAUUUGAAAUCUUAAAGGGUUUCCCUUUACGAAUUGUAGUUUAAAGAAGUGUUUUCUGUUGAGGUUUUGGUAAAAGUUCUUUGGAAUAGGACAUCAUAGAGGGUGAGAAUCCCGUAUUUGACCUUUACUUUCAACUUUGUGAUACACUUUCAAAGAGUCGGAUUGUUUGGGAAUGCAGUCCAAAAUGGGUGGUAAAUUUCAUCUAAAGCUAAAUAUUGGCGAGAGACCGAUAGCGAACAAGUACCGUGAGGGAAAGAUGAAAAGAACUUUGAAAAGGAGAGUUAAACAGUACGUGAAAUUGUCAAAAGGGAAGCGUUUGACACCAGUGUUGUUUUUCUGAAAAUCAGUUAAAGAACUGUUUAUGCUAAGCUGUUUAGACUUUAUCAGCUAACUGUUUAGUUUUGAGCUUUUCUUUAAUGCACUUUUCAGUUAACAAGUCAACAUCAAUUUCUUUUGCUGUAAAAAAGCUUGAGGAAGGUGGCUUGAGAUUCGUCUUAAGUGUUUAUAGCCUCUUGCCUAUGCAGUCGGAGAGAUUGAGGUCUGCAGCGUAGAUCCUUCGGGGCUAAAUGCAUUUGUGCUAAGUUAUGGCAUUUUCAUAGACAACUUGUUGACUAUGAUUUGUCUUGUAGCUUACUCGCUUAUGUUAUUUUACCUACGCUUAGGAUGUUGAUCUACAGAGCGAGAGU